GUCAGCGUGGUGUAAUGGUUUGAAUGUUGGACUACGACUCUGGGGACCAGGGUUCAAAUUCCUGUUCAGCUA